AGCCACCAGAGAGGAUUGAACUGACAACCCCCGAUUUACAAGACCAGUGCUCUAACCACUGAGCUAUGGUGGU
rnacentral:tRNA from 13 species